AGAAAAUGAUAAUGAUGAUGAUGACGAUGAUGAUGAUGAUGAUCAUCAUCAUCAUCAUCAUCAUCAUCAUGAUGG
rnacentral:pre_miRNA from 1 species